UGGGCCGCUAGCUCAGCUGGUAGAGCAGCAGACUCUUAAUCUGCGGGUCCUGAGUUCGAUCCUCGGGCGGCUCAA
rnacentral:tRNA from 1 species